UACGAAGGGGGCGAGCGUUGUUCGGAAUCACUGGGCGUAAAGAGCUUGUAGGCGGUUUGUCGCGUCUGCCGUGAAAAUUCGAGGCUCAACCUCGAACUUGCGGUGGGUACGGGCAGACUAGAGUGUGGUAGGGGAGACUGGAAUUCCUGGUGUAGCGGUGAAAUGCGCAGAUAUCAGGAGGAACACCGAUGGCGAAGGCAGGUCUCUGGGCCACUACUGACGCUGAGGAGCGAAAGCGUGGGGAGCGAACAGG
rnacentral:rRNA from 1 species